CCUACGGGAGGCAGCAGUGGGGAAUAUUGGACAAUGGGCGCAAGCCUGAUCCAGCCAUGCCGCGUGAGUGAUGAAGGCCCUAGGGUUGUAAAGCUCUUUCGGCGGGGAAGAUAAUGACGGUACCCGCAUAAGAAGCCCCCGGCUAACUUCGUGCCAGCAGCCGCGGUAAUACGGAAGGGGGCUAGCGUUGCUCGGAAUCACUGGGCGGUAAAGGGUGCGUAGGCGGGUUCUUUAAGUCAGAGGUGAAAUCCUGGAGCUCAACUCCAGAACUGCCUUUGAUACUGAGGAUCUUGAGUUUGGGAGAGGUGAGUGGAACUGCGAGUGUAGAGGUGAAAUUCGUAGAUAUUCGCAAGAACACCAGUGGCGAAGGCGGCUCACUGGCCCGAUACUGACGCUGAGGCACGAAAGCGUGGGGAGCAAACAGGAUUAGAUACCCUGGUAGUCCACGCCUUAAACGAUGAAUGCCAGCCGUUGGUGGGUUUACUCAUCAGUGGCGCAGCUAACGCUUUAAGCAUUCCGCCUGGGGAGUACGGUCGCAAGAUUAAAACUNAAAGGAAUUGACG
rnacentral:rRNA from 1 species